UACAGAGGUCUCAAGCGUUGUUCGGAUUCAUUGGGCGUAAAGGGUGUGUAGGUGGCGCCGUAAGUCGGGUGUGAAAUUUCGGAGCUUAACUCCGAAACUGCAUUCGAUACUGCGGUGCUUGAGGACUGGAGAGGAGACUGGAAUUCAUGGUGUAGCGGUGAAAUGCGUAGAGAUGACAUAGAACACCUAUUGCGAAGGCAGCUUACUACGCCUAUAUUGACGCUGAGGCACGAAAGCGUGGGGAUCAAACAGG
rnacentral:rRNA from 1 species